CCUACGGGAGGCAGCAGUGAGGAAUUUUGGGCAAUGGGCUUACGCCUGAACCAGCCAAGUCGCGUGAGUGAAGACUGCCCUAUGGGUUGUAAACCUCUUUUGUCAGGGAGCAACGCCGGCUACGUGUAGCCGGACUGAGAGUACCUGAAGGAAAAGCAUCGGCUAACUACGUGCCAGCAGCCGCGGUAAUACGGAGGAUGCGAGCGUUAUCCGGAUGAAUUGGGUUAAAGGGGUGCGUAGGCGGAAUGUAAAGUAAGCGGUAAAAUCGAGGGGUUAAACCUCGCUACGCUGUUGAAACUAGCGUACUUGAGUAGGAGAGAGGUAUGCAGAAUGCGUGGUGUAGCGGUGAAAUGCAUAGAUAUCACGAAGAACUCCGAUUGCGAAGGCAGCAUACUGGCGCGAAACUGACGCUGAAGUGCGAAAGCGUGGGUAUCGAACAGGAUUAGAUACCCUAGUAGUC
rnacentral:rRNA from 1 species